rnacentral:rRNA from 1 species
CCUACGGGUGGCAGCAGUAGGGAAUAUUGCUCAAUGGGGGAAACCCUGAAGCAGCCACGCCGCGUGGAGGAUGACUGUUUUCGGAUUGUAAACUCCUUUUGUUAGAGAAGAUAAUGACGGUAUCUAACGAAUAAGCACCGGCUAACUCCGUGCCAGCAGCCGCGGUACUACGGAGGGUGCAAGCGUUACUCGGAAUCACUGGGCGUAAAGCGCGCGUAGGCGGGAUAGCAAGUCAGAUGUGAAUUCCUAGGGCUUAACCAUAGAACUGCAUUUGAAACUGUUAUUCUAGAGUAUGGGAGAGGUAGGUGGAAUUCUGGGUGUAGGGGUAAAAUCCUUAGAGAGCAAGAGGAAUACUCAUUGCGAAGGCGACCUGCGAGAACAUAACUGACGCUGAUGCACGAAAGCGUGGGGAGCAAACAGGAUUAGAUACCCGAGUAGUC